GCCAAACAGCUAGCUCAAUUACCCAAUAACUAAACAAUAUAAAUAAAACAAAAUAAGCCUAACACCAAAAAUUAAAUCAUUCUUUUACCUUAGUAUGGGCGACAGAAAAGGUUACACCUGGAGCAAUAGAAAAAGUACCGCAAGGGAAAGCUGAAAGAGAAAUGAAAUAACUUAUAUAAGCACCAAAAAGCAAAGAUUAAAUCUUGUACCUUUCGCAUCAUGAUUUAGCCAGUAUAUCCAAGCAAAGAGACCUUUAGUUUGAAACCCCGAAACCAAAUGAGCUACCCCGAGACAGCCUAUUAAGGGCCAACCCGUCUCUGUGGCAAAAGAGUGGGAAGAGCUCCGGGUAGAGGUGACAGACCUACCGAACUUGGUGAUAGCUGGUUGCCUAAGAAGUGAAUAGAAGUUCAGCCUCGUACUCCCUGAAUCAAAAGAUAUAAAAAGAUAUUAGAGGGAAAUAUAUGAGAGUUAGUUAAAGGGGGUACAGCCCCUUUAACAAAGGACACAACCUUUCCAGGAGGAUAAAGAUCAUAAUACAUAAGACAUCCUGUUCUAGUGGGCCUAAAGGCAGCCAUCUAAACAGAAAGCGUUAAAGCUCAGACAGAAAUAAGUUUAUUAUUCCGACAAGAAAUCUUACUCCCCUAAAUAUUAUUAGGCCAGCCCAUGCCCACAUGGGAGAGACUAUGCUAAAAUGAGUAACAAGAAGGCCAGCCCUUCUCCAAGCACAAGUGUAAGCCAAACCGGACCGACCAUUGGCAAUUAACGAACUCAACCCGAGAGAGUAAUGUGUAUUACAACGAAACCAGGAAGAACCCACAAUUAACCCAUCGUUACCCCCACACUGGCGUGCUAUUAAAGGAAAGACUAAAAGAAGGGAAAGGAACUCGGCAAACACAAGCCUCGCCUGUUUACCAAAAACAUCGCCUCCUGCAACACAACCAAGUAUAGGAGGUCCAGCCUGCCCAGUGACUACAAGUUCAACGGCCGCGGUAUUUUGACCGUGCAAAGGUAGCGCAAUCACUUGUCUCUUAAAUGGAGACCUGUAUGAAUGGCUAAACGAGGGCUUAACUGUCUCCCCCCUCCAGUCAGUGAAAUUGAUCUACCCGUGCAGAAGCGGG
rnacentral:rRNA from 1 species